UAUGGUACUUGUGGGAGAGCCGCCGCGGUAAUACGUAUGGUGCAAGCGUUAUCCGGAUUUACUGGGUGUAAAGGGAGCGCAGGCGGUGCGGCAAGUCUGAUGUGAAAGCCCGGGGCUCAACCCCGGUACUGCAUUGGAAACUGUCGUACUAGAGUGUCGGAGGGGUAAGUGGAAUUCCUAGUGUAGCGGUGAAAUGCGUAGAUAUUAGGAGGAACACCAGUGGCGAAGGCGGCUUACUGGACGAUAACUGACGCUGAGGCUCGAAAGCGUGGGGAGCAAACAGG
rnacentral:rRNA from 1 species